GUGUUUUCGCCGUCCUCGACGUCGCACCGACGUUGGAUUCGCUGUCGAGGUGAGUACCUAACUUUCCUCCUUGGAUUACUUGAACGCACGGUUUUGAGCUCGCGUGCUGAUUUUACUAAUUUUCAGCAUCAACCGUCAGUGUUUCGGCUCGUACUCGGCAUAGGAACGUCGGAUUUCGACGGGACUUGGUUCGUUGGAUUCAUGACUUCGAGAGGAAUCCACGAAGCCCUUAUUUUCUGGAUUUGUUGAAGGUUAGCUGGAUCGAAAUUAUGUUCUCCUCUGCUGCUGUGUUUUGGACAGAAUUUGAGUUGGAGUUCUUCGUUGCGAUGUGUGCAGGGCGAUUUCGAACUUGAGCUGGACACCCUGGUUUUUCCAGUGGAUUUGGAGAUUUUUGGUGACCUCCUUGCUGCCGGGGUUUAGCGUUCGAGGUAGGUUACAUCGGUUUAUUCCUAAGUAUAUAUUAGUCGACAUGUUUGAUUUUCGGGUUCUGGUAAAUCAUGUUGUAGCUCAGGUUGUUGAUCGUAUCACGGCUAAAAAUAAUCAGCAUUGAGAACAUGACUUGUAACCAUAAAUAUACAUGUUGGACUUGGAUUCGACUUAGGAGAAAAUGCGAUAACGAUCGGCAUAUGUUAAACUACCUGAUUUAACCCUAGGGGCCGUUGUAUGAUUUUAUACUAUUGCAGUAUCAUCAUAUUGAGAAUUCCAGGUAGUUUAGAUUUCAGUUACACUCGUGCGGGGAUGCCGAGUGAAUUUUUAAAAUAGCGUUUAGGCUGUUUCGGACUGUUGGGUGCCGUCGGGGUUGACGGUGGACCCGUAUCGCCUUUUUGGCGUUGGAUUGUGCCGAACGGAUAUUACCUGUUGGUUGUUAGACCAGUUUGAGUCGGUCACUGGACUUUGGCUUUUGAGAAUCUGAUUGAGCUCGACAGAGAUACGCUGCAUACUCGGUUGGGUAGCUCCCACGAGUGCCACUCCGGAGACGAGCGCUAUACUUUCGCGUUGGUGUCGCUCAUGCCGGUUGGACUUGCUCUCCACAGACUAGUAGUGUGGAGGUAGUUAGAUAGUGACAACUGGGCAGGGACGGGUGUGUUCACAGUCCCAGGGACGGGUAGACCUACAGUCCCGAUUGGAUUGGGUCAGAUUUGAUAUUUCCUACAGUUGGUUAGUGUAGAGCAUGAUAGUGUAGUGAUUCAUAGUGGUAUAUUUUAUUCCUACAUUUACUACUAUCUUUGCUCCGUUCUGUAGACUUAGUGGGUGGACCGAUAUUGUUGAGGGCGGCACCCACUGAGGACUACCUGUUUUUAUAGUAGUUCCCACGCCCUGUUAUUACCCUCUGUUUUUGCAGAGCCAUCGUCUUUGGCUGCUGCUGUCGCAGAUUAGGAUCGAGGCAAGGGCGUCGCGAGUUAGAGCCCUACCAGACGUGCCGAGCUAGAGGUGCCCCUACUGCAGGUAGAUGUUUUGUUUUGAGUUCAUAUACAUAGUAUACUUAACUCGCCAGUGCGAGUAGCUCUGUAUUUUUGGUUAUUGGACUAUAUACAUGGAACUCCGUUUGUUUAGUUUCUGUUUACUCUAACAGCUCUAUACUACUGUUUGUCGUAUUGUACGGUUUACAGGUAUAGCUGUCGCUUCGUAUACAGGAGAAAUUCCUUUGUAUACGGCGGAUUUAUCGGCGUGCCCGGGGAACGUGUAACCCAGGGCAUGACAACAAUUUUCAUUAAAACAGUGCAAAUUUAUUUUAAAACAGUGUAACCUUAUUUUAACAGUACAAUUUCAUAUUCUUCUUCAUUCUUAUAUAAUUUUUUUCUUUACUUUUUGUCUUCUUCCUUCUUCUACAACUUUUUUUUGUCGCGCCUCUCCGCCAACGGCCAUAGUGUUGGCGACGACGCUGCUAAAGACCCCCCGCUCCAAGGCUGCGGCGCCGCAACGACCUCCGCGGCACCUAUGUCGGCGGAGAGGCGUCAUCGUUGGAAGCGGCGGAGGAGACGAAAGAGGAGGGAGAGGGAAAGAGCGAGAGAGGUUGAGAUAGGCGUCGUCGAAGGCGGUGGAGGAGGGUUGGAGAGGGGAAAAAAAUAAAUCACAGCGCGGCCUCGGCGGGGUCGAAGGUGAGGAAGGCGGGGUUACGCGGGCGAGGGUAAGGAUGCGCCGGACAAAAUCGAAGCGAACUGCCUCCGCCUCCGCCUCUGCCUCCGCCUUCGCCUCCGCCGCUCUCUGGGAAGAGAAAGAAAAAAAUAACGAGAGAAAAAAAGAGGAGAGAGAAAAAUGUGUAAGGAUAUUUUGGUCAGUUUGCUGAAAAUUCGGUCCAAAUAUGCAAAAUCGAAAAAGGUGGCCCACUUUUGCAAAAGCGCAAAAUUAG
rnacentral:lncRNA from 1 species